rnacentral:rRNA from 1 species
GAAUUUUGGACAAUGGGCGAAAGCCUGAUCCAGCCAUGCCGCGUGAGUGAAGAAGGCCUUCGGGUUGUAAAGCUCUUUCAGUUGGGAAGAAAAGGCGCUCUCUAAUAUAGGGCGCUGCUGACGGUACCGACAGAAGAAGCACCGGCUAACUACGUGCCAGCAGCCGCGGUAAUACGUAGGGUGCGAGCGUUAAUAGGAAUUACUGGGCGUAAAGCGUGCGCAGGCGGUUGUGUAAGACAGGUGUGAAAUCCCCGGGCUUAACCUGGGAACUGCGCUUGUGACUGCACGGCUAGAGUACGGCAGAGGGGGGUGGAAUUCCACGUGUAGCAGUGAAAUGCGUAGAUAUGUGGAGGAACACCGAUGGCGAAGGCAGCCCCCUGGGCCGAUACUGACGCUCAUGCACGAAAGCGUGGGGAGCAAACAGG